GAGCAAUCCAUGGAGUAAAGUGGCGACCGGGUGAGUAACACGUGACUAACCUACCUCCGAGUGGGGAAUAACUCCGGGAAACCGGGGCUAAUACCGCAUAACAUCGCAAGAUCAAAGCAGCAAUGCGCUUGGAGAGGGGGUCGCGGCUGAUUAGCUAGUUGGCGGGGUAACGGCCCACCAAGGCGAAGAUCGGUAUCCGGCCUGAGAGGGCGCACGGACACACUGGAACUGAAACACGGUCCAGACUCCUACGGGAGGCAGCAGUGGGGAAUUUUGCGCAAUGGGGGAAACCCUGACGCAGCAACGCCGCGUGGAGGAUGAAGUCCCUUGGGACGUAAACUCCUUUCGACCAAGACGAUAAUGACGGUACUGGUGGAAGGAGCACCGGCUAACUCUGUGCCAGCAGCCGCGGUAAUACAGAGGGUGCGAGCGUUGUUCGGAAUUAUUGGGCGUAAAGGGCGCGUAGGCGGCCUUCUAAGUCGAACGUGAAAUCCCCGGGCUCAACCCGGGAACUGCGUCCGAUACUGGAAGGCUUGAAUCCGGGAGAGGGAUGCGGAAUUCCAGGUGUAGCGGUGAAAUGCGUAGAUAUCUGGAGGAACACCGGUGGCGAAGGCGGCAUCCUGGACCAAUUCUGACACUGAGGGAGCGAAAGCCAGGGGAGCAAACGGGAUUAGAUACCCCGGUAGUCCUGGCCCUAAACGAUGAAUGCUUGGUGUGGCGGGUAUCGAUCCCUGCCGUGC
rnacentral:rRNA from 1 species